AUUUUCAAAGGAUAACAGUAAUCCAAUGGUUUUAGGAACCAUUACUUCUUGGUGCAACUCCAAGUGAAAAUA
rnacentral:tRNA from 1 species